GAAAAAAAUUUAGCCACAUAUUUCAUUUCAUCCCUCAAGGAGAAGAAAUUAUUUCAAGUUCUGGAUCGUCGAGUAGUGAGAGAAGGGUCGAUGGAUCAACUUCAAAACGCUGCUCAACUUGUGAAACGGUGCCUUAACCUUAAUGGCGAGGAAAGACCAGCUAUGAAGGAUGUGGUGACGGAAAUAGAGAGUCUGAGGAAAUUCAGCAAACAUCCUUGGGCUAAUCGACAUGGCACUGAGGAAACUACAAGCUUGAUAGUUCAUACAGAGAUUCAGCAUUCAGACCUCUAUGAAAUUCAGCUAAGUUCUCAUGAUGGGAAUAACUCUGAACAGUAUAGCUCAAGUACUACUGUUAGUUUGUUGCACCAGCCAAGCAGCCCUCGUUGAGAUAUAUCUUGAACUCCAUGAUUUGUUCAUAAUACAUGCAUGUGUAUUCUAAAAUUUCAUUUCCAUGUCUAGUUACCGGUUUGUUACACGGUUCAUUUCUAUCUAGUUAUGCAUACAUAUUCGAUAAAGUGGUUUUUAUACAAGGAACACACUGUAUACGCAAAUAGUUAUAUGUUUUAGUAGGGAAGCAUUCGAUUCGGUCAACCGAAGACCGAACCGAAUAACCGAAAAAAAUAAAUUCGAUUUAAUUAACCAAACUACAUAUUUCAGUUCAGUUUUCGGCAAUAAAAUUUCAAAAAUUCGGUAUUUUUUUGUCAGCUUUUAGCCGCGGUUAACCGAUAACCGUUCGGUUGAUAACCGUUACUUAAUUGUCAAUACUAAAUAAUUUAUUAAUAUCACCUAAUUAUCUAUACAGAGAAAUUAUUCAAUUUAAACUUUAAAACCAAAUAGAUUUGAAACUCCUUAAAUGAACCGAAGAUUCUUUACUUCAAUUAGCUUUAAAUCAUUUUUUUGUUUGUGUAUAUAUAUUUGGGUUUAUGUGUAUAUAUUUGGGUUUGUAUGAUAAUGAGGUUAGUAUGUUAAUCUUUGGGUUUGUGUAUCAUUGUCUGUAUGUCAAUUAGGUUACUUGGAAUCUUGGAUACACUGCUGUUAACAUUUCACCGUUGGCUGCUGCUACUCCUUGUUCAUGUGCUGCACUCAGUUGAAAUAAUAUCAGUACAGAGCAUGUAUAAUGUUAUGUGUUACAGAGCUGCAGCUAGAGCUGGCCAAAUGAGCAGGUUCGAACCGCUUGUUCGGAACAGAACCGCCUACUUAUUUGUCAAAAUUCUACUUGUGGCGGGUUUGAUUAGGCCCGGCUCGGCUCGUUAAAUAUUACGAAUCGAAUACGAAUAACUAUAUGGGAAACUGGAACCGGCCCGCGAAUCAAACUAAUCAUGCACGUCUUCGGCUCACGAAUCGAACAAGGCGAACGAAUCAAACGAGUCAGACAAAUCGAACGUAUUCAGCCCGGACCGGCUCGCGCGGAAUCAGCCUGCGAGUCCGGCCACGCGCCAGUCUGUUCUGCAGGCUGCAGCAAGGUUCGUCUGUGACUCUAACUCGUCUUUUAUCCCCAAUGUUUGUCUCCCCUCCCAGUUCAGCUUUUGCAGGCACCAACGGCUACAUAGCCAGUCUUUCCCUCUUUUUGUCAUUUCAUCGAACACCUGCUUGGCUGCUUUGCACUCGAAAAUUACUAGCUGAAAUAGCGACUACAAAACCUUUUUUUUUUUUUGCGCUAAAUACAAAACUUUUUUUAAUCUAAUUAACUGAAUUACUAGCUGAAAUAGCGACAACAAGUUACAAUUACAACAAGUCAAGAUAUAUCAGUGGCAACUACGAAUUAUAAGCUGCAGAUCGCAAGUAAUAAUCAUGAUACAUUUUUAGAGAUUUAGUUCAGUAACAUAGAUGGCAGAACUAAAUUUUUUAAUAAUAUUUACUUGUUCAACUGGGAGUAUGUUUUACAUUUUUAUUUUUUACAAAUUUUGAAACUGAAAGCAAACCAAGAUUUUAAAAUCGAAAUGAAAUAGAUUGUUCCGCGUUGCGGUUGCGGUUUUUGAUUUUUAAAACCAAUGAUUUUCGGUUCCAACCGAUUUUAGUUUAUCCAAAAACCUAACCGAAUUGAGAUUUGCUCUCCCUCAUCCGUUGCAUGCUUAUAAGAAUUUCAAAAAUCCGUAAAAAGACUUAGGAAAGGAUAUCUACGGUAGAGAGGCACAAUAUUCAUCACAAAACAAAUUCAUAUAUAACAAUCAGAAAAAAUAAAAAUAAUAUUAAUCUUUGUGCUAGAUGCACAACUGGAAAUGAAAACAUAAGCGAGAAAUACGCAUGUUAAAUUAAUAUGUGCGAACUUUUUUUAAUAACCACUUGGAGCUUUCUCGUUUGAAACCGGAUAUUAAGAGUAUCUCCAAUAAUCUCUUAAUUAACUCUUAAAUAAUAAUAAAUAUAAUAUAAAAUAUUAAACUCUAGUAAAUUAGUCAUUAUUAGGAGUGUGAACUUCAACAAUAUUCUUUAUGCUCACUUUUAAUAUUAUAUUUUUUUCUUGUUUGAACUCCACUAUGACAAACAUUCAAAUUCAAAUGAGAGAUAAUUGAUAUUUUAUUAUAAAAAAAUAAGUUAAAAAUCAUGUAAUGGCUCUUAAAAGAGAGGAGAAAAAAGAGGCUUCUAGUAUUUUUAGGAGCUAUUGAGAGUCUCUUGGAGUUCUAUUUUUUCUCAUGCUCCUAUUUUUGGUCUUAAGAGCCUAUUUGAGAGUCUAUUGGAGCUGCACUAAUGAAUAUGCUCUAAUGAAUAAUUACUACUCCUUCUGUCCCGUGUAGUUCUAUGUAUACGUAUGGGGUGUGACACAGAUUUACUGAUUCGGAGUCACGUCCGGUUCUCAGACCUGCCAAGAACAAAUCUCGACCGGUGAAAUCAUAAUGCGCAUAAAGUGGGUGUAGUGUGAGUAAAAUAAUAGGACCAAUUAAUAUUUAACGUAUAAAGUGAGUGUACCGGAAAAAAAAUGGGUGAAGUUAAUCUUUUAUAUUAUAAAGUUUUAUAUUAUUUUUGGAAUCUAUACAAUUGAAUGGUAUAUCCAAAAAGAAACCGUAUAAAAAUGAAUUAGACGAGGAGUAAUGAAACAAGGACCAGUUAACAGUCUUGACCGUCACCAUGGAGCAACCAUAUUUGAUGCCAAAACAUCGAAGACCCAGCUUAUGGAGUUGGCAUAGACCUGCAAGCAUUGACCAACAAGCAUACUUUUCUAAAUGUGGAAAGCAAGGCAAAAACUGACGGUGCACAUUCGCAGAAGACCAUUCGGAUAACAAGAUUAAAGGAAACUGUGGUGUGGAGCUUCACCUGUAACAUCAAUACCAGCUGACCAGAACUUUACAUCGUACACAUUGUCAUAUCCGUCGAAAGACUAGCGUGUUUCAAGGGCAAUUCCUUUUGGAGUGUAUUGCAGAGCUUUCCGAUUUGUGAUGCUACCGCAGAAAGCAAUUUUUGAGGUAAGUACUGAGGUUGUGGUGGCAAAUGCUGAGAAUUUUCAUACUUGUUUGGUAGUUGAAAAGUCUUGGAGAGCGAGAGCCUGGGUCGGCCUUGGGUAAGGCGACCAAGGCGAACGGUUAGGGCACCAUUAUUUUAGAGGCACCAAAAAAUCUAUGCGUAUAUAGUAUAUAUAGAUAAAUUCAUGCAUUUAUAUAUUUACAUGCAUGUGAAUUGAUUGUGUUAUUAAUCUUAAAACAAUAUUGAGUCAAUUUUCAAAUGAGUGAUAUUUUUGAUACAAACUUACAAAGUGAGUGACUAAAUUGAGUCAAUUUUCAAAUGAGUGAGUAAUUUGAUAUAUUUGAACCAAACGAAUUAUGACAUUGAUAUUUAUCCCAAUUUAAAUGUAUGUAAAUUUUUGUUUUACGAUUUUGAAAAGGCUUAAUGACCUUUUAGCCCUUGAAGUUUGGGUGGAAGUUCCGAUGCGGCCUCGAAGUUUAAAAACGUACCUUUCGACCUUCAAAGUAUUUUUGUCGUACCUUUUAGCCCUUAUGGCAUAUACUGGUAUAUAACGGGGUGGACAAAGUUGACAUUUCACACGUGAGGGUUAAAAGGGACAUUAAACAUUAAGGGUUAAAAGGAACAUCUAAUGUAUUUUAAUGUAUUUUAUAGGGAUUAAAAAGGAACGAGAUGUAUACUUUAAGAGUUAAAAGGUAUGCCCAAACUUUACCCCGAAUAUGAAUUGUCAACUUUAUCCCCCGAUUUAUACCGGUAUUUUUAAAAAUGGCUAAAAGGUACAAUCGACCGGUGAAAUCAUAAUGCGCAUAAAGUGGGUGUAGUGUGAGUAAAAUAAUAGGACCAAUUAAUAUUUAACGUAUAAAGUGAGUGUACCGGAAAAAAAAUGGGUGAAGUUAAUCUUUUAUAUUAUAAAGUUUUAUAUUAUUUUUGGAAUCUAUACAAUUGAAUGGUAUAUCCAAAAAGAAACCGUAUAAAAAUGAAUUAGACGAGGAGUAAUGAAACAAGGACCAGUUAACAGUCUUGACCGUCACCAUGGAGCAACCAUAUUUGAUGCCAAAACAUCGAAGACCCAGCUUAUGGAGUUGGCAUAGACCUGCAAGCAUUGACCAACAAGCAUACUUUUCUAAAUGUGGAAAGCAAGGCAAAAACUGACGGUGCACAUUCGCAGAAGACCAUUCGGAUAACAAGAUUAAAGGAAACUGUGGUGUGGAGCUUCACCUGUAACAUCAAUACCAGCUGACCAGAACUUUACAUCGUACACAUUGUCAUAUCCGUCGAAAGACUAGCGUGUUUCAAGGGCAAUUCCUUUUGGAGUGUAUUGCAGAGCUUUCCGAUUUGUGAUGCUACCGCAGAAAGCAAUUUUUGAGGUAAGUACUGAGGUUGUGGUGGCAAAUGCUGAGAAUUUUCAUACUUGUUUGGUAGUUGAAAAGUCUUGGAGAGCGAGAGCCUGGGUCGGCCUUGGGUAAGGCGACCAAGGCGAACGGUUAGGGCACCAUUAUUUUAGAGGCACCAAAAAAUCUAUGCGUAUAUAGUAUAUAUAGAUAAAUUCAUGCAUUUAUAUAUUUACAUGCAUGUGAAUUGAUUGUGUUAUUAAUCUUAAAACAAUAUUGAGUCAAUUUUCAAAUGAGUGAUAUUUUUGAUACAAACUUACAAAGUGAGUGACUAAAUUGAGUCAAUUUUCAAAUGAGUGAGUAAUUUGAUAUAUUUGAACCAAACGAAUUAUGACAUUGAUAUUUAUCCCAAUUUAAAUGUAUGUAAAUUUUUGUUUUACGAUUUUGAAAAGGCUUAAUGACCUUUUAGCCCUUGAAGUUUGGGUGGAAGUUCCGAUGCGGCCUCGAAGUUUAAAAACGUACCUUUCGACCUUCAAAGUAUUUUUGUCGUACCUUUUAGCCCUUAUGGCAUAUACUGGUAUAUAACGGGGUGGACAAAGUUGACAUUUCACACGUGAGGGUUAAAAGGGACAUUAAACAUUAAGGGUUAAAAGGAACAUCUAAUGUAUUUUAAUGUAUUUUAUAGGGAUUAAAAAGGAACGAGAUGUAUACUUUAAGAGUUAAAAGGUAUGCCCAAACUUUACCCCGAAUAUGAAUUGUCAACUUUAUCCCCCGAUUUAUACCGGUAUUUUUAAAAAUGGCUAAAAGGUACAAUAAAGAUACUUUGAGGGUCGAAAGGUACGUUUUUAAACUUCGAGGCCGCAUCGGAACUUCCACCCAUACUUCGAGGGCUAAAAGGUCAUUAAGCCAUUUGAAAAAUAGAAGUACUAUUUUCAAAAUUCGUUUAGGGCACCCAAAUCUCUGGGGCCGGCCCCGCGGGGAGAGCAGACAAGGGGAGUUAUAGGAGUAUGAUUGCUAUAUAAACAGAGCUAUGGACUGAGGAACAAGAAUAUACAGCAACAAUAUACACACCAAGAACAUACACUUCCGAUAUCGAAAAGCUAAACACGAAAAUGUCCUCCUGUCUUUUUUUCCUUGUUGUUCUCCUGCAUUUUUCCUUCGGGUUAAAACAGCUAGAGUCGACCACUCUUAGUUUUAAUACCACCGACGCUAAACACAGUAUUCGGAUGGCUAAAAACAUUACAAUUGAGCCAAAAUGUCAGAGUAAAUGCGGAGACCUGACGGUACCAUAUCCGUUUGGAAUCGUAUCAAAGGGUCUCAAGUGUUCCAUAGACCCCUCUUUUGAUAUUACGUGCAACAAUUCUUUCAAUCCUCCCAAGGCCUUUAUACAAACUGGUAACAUUCAGGUGUAUGAUAUAUCGGACACUGAGUUAAGAGUAUCAACUUUCAUGUCUUCCAGAUGCUAUAAUCAGCCCGGCUUUUUAAAUUACACCGAAGCUCGGGUUAAUGUUGAACCUCCGUAUAUAUAUUCUGACGCAAAUGUGUUCACAGUUGUUGGUUGUGAUGACUUUGGCAGCCUUUUCAGAGAUGUAAAUUCCGUUUCCCGUAAAGGAUGCAUGACAACAUGCGACGACGCUGAGGAUGUCGAUAAAGAUGAGUGCUCCGGCAAUGGUUGUUGUCAAACAUCCGUCAAUCUUGACAAGUAUUUCCGAAUCGGUCUUUCAAGCGAUUUUAAUCAUACAUAUAACGUCUCAUCAUUUAACCCGUGCGGUUAUGCAUUUUUGGGUGAGAAAGAUAAAUUCAAGUUUCAAGGCACAUCAGAUCUUAAUGAUCCAGAUUUCCGGAACAGGACUAAGGCUAAUGUUCCUAUAGUACUAGACUGGGGUAUAGGGAAGAACAAUUGCAUUGAAGCACAGAAAGACCAAGCUUCUUAUGCUUGCAAACAUGAAAAUAGUGACUGCAUAAAUGGAAGUAGGUCUGGUGGAUAUCGUUGCAUUUGCAGAGAUGGUUAUGAGGGUAAUCCAUAUCUCAGUCCAGGAUGCCAAGGUAAUUAAUCUAACUCUUCAUUCUAAUUUUGAAUAUUUGGAGUAUCUAAUGAGCUGAUUUAAUCUAAUUUAAUUGUUUGAUUGUAAGAUAUAAAUGAAUGUGAACAACAUACACAUGGUUGUGAACAACACUGCAAUAAUACUCAGGGGGGUUUUAAUUGCUAUUGCGGAUCCGGCUACUCUAUUGAUGUUCGUGAUGGCAAAAAAUGCACUGCUAAAAGUGUUUUAAUUGCUAACGGCAACAGGAUCAAGUUGGUAUUAGGUAAAUUAGUUCUCAGCAAUGAUCCAUACAUAUGCAUAAUGUACUGGAAUAAAUAAUCAUGUGAUAUACGGGUGUAUCAUGCAGGUUUGGUAAUUUGUUGCCUUUUAGUAAUCAUCGGAAUGAACUGGCUGUACUGCAUCAUGAAGCAGAGAAAGCAUUCUCAAUUACGAGAAAAAUUCUUUGAGCAGAACGGGGGUUUUCUCUUAAGACAACAAAGUAUUUCUGAGGGAGGUAGUAUCGAGUCUACAAAACAUUUCACUUACGAAGAAUUGAAGAAAGCGACCAACAACUAUGCUGCUGAUAGAAUAGUUGGACAAGGUGGUUAUGGUAUAGUUUACGAAGGAAUUUUACCUGAUCAACGUGUCGUUGCAGUCAAAAGGUCUAAAGUAUUGGAUACGAGUCAAAUAGAUCAAUUUAUCAACGAGGUGGUCGUUCUUGCACAAGUUAACCACAGAAAUGUGGUCAAACUUCUAGGAUGUUGUUUAGAAUGUGAGGUGCCAUUGUUGGUAUAUGAGUUUAUAUCUAAUGGCACUUUGUUCCAUCAUGUCCACAGUACUGACGGAGGCUUGUCAUGGUUAUCUUUAGACAAUCGGUUGAGAGUUGCUGCUGAAUCUGCUGGUGCCCUUGCGUAUCUUCAUUCAGAAGCUUCUAUGCCCAUUAUGCAUAGAGAUGUCAAAUUAGCCAACAUAUUACUUGAUGACAAUUAUGUUGCUAAAAUAUCUGAUUUCGGAGCCUCCAGGCUGGUACCCAUGGAUCAAACUAAAGUGAUCACAUUAGUCCAAGGAACUUUAGGCUACUUGGACCCUGAAUACUUCCAUACAGGUGAACUAACCGACAAAAGUGACGUUUAUAGUUUUGGAGUGGUCCUUGCAGAGCUCUUAACUGGAAGAAAACCAAUUUCCAUGGAAAAUUCUGGGGAAGAAAAAAAUUUAGCCACGUAUUUCAUUACUUCCCUCAAGGAGAACAGAUUAUUUCAAGUUCUAGAUCGUCGAGUAGUGAGGGAAGGGUCGAUGGAUCAACUUCAAAACGCUGCUCAACUUGUGAAGAGGUGCCUUAGCCUUAAUGGCGAGGAAAGACCACCAAUGAAGGAUGUGGCGACGGAAAUGGAGAGUCUAAGGAAAUUAACCAAACAUCCUUGGGCUAAUCAACAUGGCACUGAAGAAACCACAAGCUUGAUCGUUGAUAGAGAGAUUCAGCAUUCAGACCUCUAUGAAAUUCAGCUAACUACUCAUGGUGANUUUUGGAGUGGUCCUUGCAGAGCUCUUAACUGGAAGAAAACCAAUUUCCAUGGAAAAUUCUGGGGAAGAAAAAAAUUUAGCCACGUAUUUCAUUACUUCCCUCAAGGAGAACAGAUUAUUUCAAGUUCUAGAUCGUCGAGUAGUGAGGGAAGGGUCGAUGGAUCAACUUCAAAACGCUGCUCAACUUGUGAAGAGGUGCCUUAGCCUUAAUGGCGAGGAAAGACCACCAAUGAAGGAUGUGGCGACGGAAAUGGAGAGUCUAAGGAAAUUAACCAAACAUCCUUGGGCUAAUCAACAUGGCACUGAAGAAACCACAAGCUU
rnacentral:lncRNA from 1 species